rnacentral:lncRNA from 1 species
CCAACAUCUGCCGAGCUGGCCACAGGUGUGUCCCUGACUCCUAUGACCUCACUGCCGUAAGCCAUGGGUGUGGUCUGGGCCAGGCUCCGCUUCUGUCCUGGCACGGGGGCCUUGCACCCGCUUGCCUCUCAUGGCUUGGGGUCCUGCUCUCCACUGCCCACAGCAGCAGCCCGCUGCUGUCCCAGCCCAGAGGGACGGCCAUCCUCCCAGACCACUCUCCCCGAGUGGCCAGCAGCUGAGACCGUGGGUUAAGUAACAAGACAGCGAGCUGACUGCAGUGCAUGCUGCUUGUGCAGAUGAAGCAGACCUUCCAGUAGAGGCCAAAACACCACCUCACCUCUGGUGCAGGAAGGAAGGUGAUGCAACCCUGCGCUGCCCCUGUAAUUACAUCUCUGACACUUGCUUUAUAGCUUCGUAAUUAUACUCGGC